rnacentral:rRNA from 1 species
AUAUCAAUAAGCGGAGGAAAAGAAACUAACAAGGAUUCCCCUAGUAACUGCGAGUGAAGCGGGAAAAGCUCAAAUUUAAAAUCUGUCAGUCUUUGACUGUCCGAGUUGUAAUCUAGAGAAGUGUUAUCUGCGCUGGACCGUGUACAAGUCUCCUGGAAUGGAGCAUCAUGGAGGGUGAGAAUCCCGUCUUUGACAUGGACUGCCAGGGCUUUGUGAUGCGCUCUCAAAGAGUCGAGUUGUUUGGGAAUGCAGCUCAAAAUGGGUGGUAAAUUCCAUCUAAAGCUAAAUAUUGGCGAGAGACCGAUAGCGAACAAGUACCGUGAGGGAAAGAUGAAAAGAACUUUGGAAAGAGAGUUAAACAGUACGUGAAAUUGCUGAAAGGGAAACGCUUGAAGUCAGUCGCGUUGUCCAGGGAUCAACCUUGCUUUUGCUUGGUGUACUUUCUGGUUGACGGGUCAGCAUCAAUUUUGACUAUUGGAAAAAGAUUAGGGGAAUGUGGCAUCUUCGGAUGUGUUAUAGCCCUUGGUUGCAUACAAUGGUUGGGAUUGAGGAACUCAGCACGCCGCAAGGCCGGGUUUUAACCACGUACGUGCUUAGGAUGCUGGCAUAAUGGCUUUAAUCGACCCGUCUUGAAACACGGACCAAGGAGUCUAACAUGCCUGCGAGUGUUUGGGUGGAAAACUCGAGCGCGCAAUGAAAGUGAAAGUUGAGAUCCCUGUCGUGGGGAGCAUCGACGCCCGGACCAGACCUUUUGUGACGGAUCCGCGGUAGAGCAUGUAUGUUGGGACCCGAAAGAUGGUGAACUAUGCCUGAAUAGGGUGAAGCCAGAGGAAACUCUGGUGGAGGCUCGUAGCGAUUCUGACGUGCAAAUCGAUCGUCAAAUUUGGGUAUAGGGGCGAAAGACUAAUCGAACCAUCUAGUAGCUGGUCUGC